CGUCAUCCCACUGCGUGCAGGUGCAUGGCCUUCUGGGAAUUAUAGUUUCGGCGACGCUGGCACUGAAGGCCUGAGUCUCUGCGCUAGCGCGGCGCGGCGCCUUCUGGGAGUUGUAGUUCUUGGGAGACCCGCGGGGUCCGCAACUCUCCCAGCGCGCACGCGCAGCCUAUGCCGGCCCGGCGCUUGGACCAGUCUGUGGUAGCUGCCGCUUUGACCUGUGUUACCGCACGUCCGCGCCACCGCAGGACGAGGGAUCACCGGAGGUCUGCAUGGGCCGGGUAGGACCAGAGGCCAUGGAAACUCUGACCCGAACCCAACAGGCUCGGCGGGAGCAGGCCAAGGCCUUCGGAGCUGGUCCCGGAGGCGAGGGCGCCGAUACCUACUGGACCCACUGAGGCAUGGUAGCCAGGACAGGGGCCACCGCCUGAGUGACACGGACAGGACUUGAUGCUCCCAAAACUGCAAGGAAGAUAUGAAAUCAAGGCAACAGCUCAGGAAGCCAGGAUGGAAGGACUCUUGACGAUCGCCGCUCCCCGGGGCUCCGAGUUGGGAGAAACAUGGAAACAUGAGGGUCAUUUCAAGGACAGACAGGAAAACGAGGAAAGCUACUGGGAACAGGAGGCCCACACGAAAGACCCCACCAGGGUGGGUGUCCCCGAGAAUGAUGGACUUGGUGGGAGCCCCGGAACCAGCUCAAGCCCCGCCAGUACCCAAGCCGACAACAGGCCACAGGGGCGCGGCAUGCCAAGAAAGAGCGCCAAACCG